AUACGAAAGGUGCAAGCGUUGUUCGGAUUUACUGGGCGUAAAGAGAGUGUAGGUUGUUUAUUAAGUCGGAUGUGAAAUCCCGGGGCUCAACCUCGGAACUGCAUUCGAUACUGAUAGGCUAGAGUUUGGGAGGGGUAAGCGGAAUUCCGUGUGUCGCAGUGAAAUGCGUAGAUAUACGGAGGAACACCUGAGGCGAAGGCGGCUUACUGGACCAAUACUGACACUGAGACUCGAAAGCGUGGGUAGCAAACAGGAUUAGAAACCCUAGUAGUCC
rnacentral:rRNA from 1 species